AUCCUUUUACAUAUUAAGUAAGAUGAUAUCAUUCAAGUCCCAAGUCUUCCCAUAGCUUCUGUUCCAUUCAAUGUAAAAGCCAUAAUCUUUAGAAUAGCCCCUAAGGUUGUGAGUAAUUUGGCACUUCUGUGACCGUAUUUUCUAUUACUUUCUCCCUUGGUCACUCAGCUUCAGCCACGCUGAUAUAGAACUCUUUCUAGAACACACCAGACUCUCUCCCACCUCUUAACCUUUGCAGUGGGUGCUUUCUCUGCCUAGACUCAGAUCUGUCUGUAUCAGAUUCCCUUACCUCUUUUAGGUCUCAGUUAGUCAGCUUCCUGAUAACUCCAAUGACAAAUUAAAACUACACGCUCUUGGAGUUCCCGUUGUGGCUCAAUGGUUAAUGAAUGUGACUAGCAUCCAUGAGGAUGUGGGGUUCAAUUCCUGGCCUCUCUUGCUCAGUGGGUUAAGGAUCUGGCAUAGCCAUGAGCCGUGGCAUAGGUCGCAGACUCGGCUCAGAUCCCGUGUUGUUAUGUCUGUGGUGUAGGCCGGCGGCUACAGCUCUGAUUCAUCCCCUAGCCUGGGAACCUCCAUAUGCCGAGGGUGCAGCCCUAAAAAGACAAAAAGGCAAAAACAAACAAACAAACAAACAAACAAACAAAUCCUGCAAGCUCUUCAUCAACCUCUCCUGCCAUUUUUGCCUACCAUCUAUCUCCCAUCUCUCUUUGUCCUCCAGCUAGACUGUGCUCUGGGGAAGCAGGGAUUUGGGUCACCACUGUGUUGCCAGGGUCUAGAACAUUGCUGUUGAUGCACAGAAGGACUUGUUGACUGAACACCGACAUUGAAUGAAUGAAUAUUGUGUGCUAAUUCACAUUAGCAUACUCGUGAUUUGGCUUCUGAUCUAGUUACCAAACUUUUGUGAUACAAACAAACAGAAUUCUGGAUUUUAACAGUAGUGUUUUGUUGAUUAACUGAUUACAGGUCUUUUAGGUAAGAUAAUUUAUUCCAGUGUGCUACUAAAGAUCAUCUGAAAGCAUCAAAAUGGUCCUUCAGGCUUUCCUGCAUUACUGCCAAUUAUUACAAUAUUGUUCUUCCCCCACCCCGAUUCUGGGGAAUAUGAUAUUAAAUUAGUUGAAAUUCCCUACUGAGAAAUGACUACAGGGUAGAGGAAAAUUUCAAAAAGUACAAGGAAACAAAAUCAUAAACGAUACAACAUUUAGGACGUUAUCCAUCUGAAGAGUGAGAUUAUGAGUGACUUUCAUUUUUUUAUGUCUGUACUUUAAACAUUUUACACAAUGUAUCAGUGUUUCAAAGGAUUAUAAAACUAAACUUAUU
rnacentral:lncRNA from 1 species